GCCUGGCUAACUCAGUCGGUAGAGUAUGGGACUCUUAGUCCCGAAGUUGUGGGUUCAAGCCCCACAUUAGGUA
rnacentral:tRNA from 1 species